rnacentral:sRNA from 1 species
UUUACUUUAGGUGUUGCUUUUGAACAGGGCAAAAUCCUUCCUACUCCUGAGACAGUUCCUUUUAGACUCACCAGAGAUAUUGUGGAUGGCAUGGGCAUUACUGGUGUUGAAGGUGUCUUCAGAAGAUGCUGUGAGAAAACCAUGGAAGUGAUGAGAAACUCUCAGGAAACUUUGUUAACCAUUGUAGAGGUCCUUCUGUAUGAUCCACUCUUUGACUGGACCAUGAAUCCUUUGAAAGCUUUGUAUUUACAGCAGAGGCCGGAAGACGAAACUGAGCUUCACCCUACUCUGAAUGCAGAUGACCAAGAAUGCAAACGAAAUCUCAGUGAUAUUGACCAGAGUUUCAACAAAGUAGCUGAACGUGUCUUAAUGAGACUACAAGAGAAACUGAAAGGAGUGGAAGAAGGCACUGUGCUCAGUGUUGGUGGACAAGUGAAUUUGCUCAUACAGCAGGCCAUAGACCCCAAAAAUCUCAGCCGACUUUUCCCAGGAUGGAAAGCUUGGGUGUGAUCUUCAGCAUAUAAAUUACCCUUGCAUUCAGCCUUUAGAAAUUAUAUUUUAGCCUUUAUUUUUAACCUGCCAACAUACUUUAAGUAGGGAUUAAUAUUUAAGUGAACUAUUGUGGUUUUUUUUUGAAUGUUGGUUUUAAUACUUGAUUUAAUCACCAUUCAAAAAUGUUUUGAUGGUCUUAAGGAAUAUCUCUGCUCUCACUCUUUAGACAUAAUGGUUAUUUGGGCUGGG